GGGAUAGAAUUCCAGGAGUAGCGGUGAAAUGCGUAGAUAUCUGGAGGAAUACCAAAGGCGAAGGCAGUCCCCUGGUCCGAUACUGACACUGAGGUACGAAAGCGUGGGGAGCAAACAGGAUUAGAUACCCUGGUAGUCCACGCCCUAAACGAUGUCGAUUAGCCAUUGGAAGGACCCCUUUUCCUUUCAGUGACGUAGCUAACGCGUUAAAUCGACCGCCUGGGAAGUACGACCGCAAGGUUAAAACUCAAAGGAAUUGACGGGGACCUGAACAAGCGGUGAAUGAUGUGGAUUAAUUCGAUGCUACGCGAAGAACCUUACCUACCUUUGACAUGGCCAAAGUUCUACCGAGAGGCGGAAGUACUCGUAAGAGGAUUGGCGCACAGGUGCUGCAUGGUUGUCGUCAGUUCGUGUCGUGAGAUGUUGGGUUCAGUCCCGCAACGAACGCAACCCUUAUCUUUAAUUGCUCCUAUUUUAACAGGCACUUUAAAGAAACUGCCAAUGAUAAGUUGGAGGAAGGUGGGGAUCACGUCAAGUCCGCAUGGCCUUUAUAGGUAGGGCUUCACACGUCAUACAAUGGUUAGAACAAAGAGCUGCAAAUUCGUAAGAAGGAGCCAAUCUCACAAACCUAACCUCAGUUCGAAUUGCGGUCUGCAACUCGAGCGCAUGAAGCCGGAAUCGCUAGUAAUCGUGGAUCAGAAUGCCACGGCGAAUACGUUCUUAGGUCUU
rnacentral:rRNA from 1 species